rnacentral:rRNA from 1 species
GAUGAACGCUGGCGGCGUGCCUAAUACAUGCAAGUCGAGCGAACAGAUAAGGAGCUUGCUCCUUUGACGUUAGCGGCGGACGGGUGAGUAACACGUGGGUCACCUACCUAUAUGACUGGUAUAACUCCGGGAAACCGGGGCUUAUGCCGGAUAACAUUUAGAACCGCAUGGUUCUAAAGUGAAAGAUGGUUUUGCUAUCACUUCUCGAUGGACCCGCGCCGUAUUAGCUAGUUGGUACGGUAACGGGUUACCACGGCAACGAUACGUAGCCGACCUGAGAGGGUGAUCGGCCACACGGGAGCGGAGACACGGUCCAGGCUCCUGAGGGAGGCAGCAGUAGGGUAUCGGCCGCAAUAGGCGAAAGCCUGACGGAGCAACGGCGCGUGAGUGAUGAAGGUCUUCGGAGCGUAAAACUCUGUUAUUAGUGGAGAACAAAUGUGUAAGGAAAUGUGCACGUCGUGACGGUACCUAAUCAGAAAGCCACGGCUAACUACGUG